rnacentral:rRNA from 1 species
CCUACGGGAGGCAGCAGUAAGGAAUAUUGGUCAAUGGAGGCAACUCUGAACCAGCCAUGCCGCGUGCAGGAAGAAGGCCCUAUGGGUCGUAAACUGCUUUUGUACCAGAGAAAACCCGAGUACGUGUACUCGGUUGAUAGUAUGGUAAGAAUAAGCAUCGGCUAACUUCGUGCCAGCAGCCGCGGUAAGACGAAGGAUGCAAGCGUUAUCCGGAUUCAUUGGGUUUAAAGGGUGCGUAGGCGGACUGAUAAGUCAGUGGUGAAAUCUCUCGGCUUAACCGAGAAACUGCCAUUGAUACUGUUAGUCUAGAGUAUAGAUGACGUUGGCGGAAUAUGACAUGUAGUGGUGAAAUACUUAGAUAUGUCAUAGAACACCGAUUGCGAAGGCAGCUAACGAAACUAUAACUGGCGCUGAGGCACGAAAGUGCGGGGAUCAAACAGGAUUAGAUACCCUGGUAGUCCGCACCGUAAACGAUGAUUACUCGUUGUUGGCAAUAUGACCGUCAGCGACCAAGCGAAAGCGAUAAGUAAUCCACCUGGGGAGUACGCCGGCAACGGUGAAACGUCAAANAGAGUAGAGNGNGAGAGNGCGAGCGACGACGAGGGGAGGAGG